rnacentral:tRNA from 1 species
GCUUUUAAAGGAAAAUAGUUAUUCCCCUGGUCUUAGGCUCCAGUACCUCUCAGUGCAACUCUGAGUAAAAGCU